GACGAACGCUGGCGGCGUGCCUAAUACAUGCAAGUAGGACGCAGUUGCGAACGGGUGAGUAACGCGUAGGUAUCUGCCUACUAGAGAGGGAUAACUAAUGGAAACGAUAGCUAAUACCGCAUACUCGCAGAUGGACCUACCUUGUAUUCGCUAGUAGGUAGGGUAAUGGCCUACCUAGGCAACGAUACAUAGACGACCUGGGGGGGGGAUCGGCCAAACUGGGAAUGGGAAAAGGCCCAGACUCCUACGGGGGGGAGGAGGAGGGAAUCUUCGGCAAUGGGGGGAACGCUGACCGGGCAACGCCGCGUGAGGGAAGAAGGGUUUCGGAUCGUAAAGCUCUGUUGGUAAGGAAGCGGUACUUAACCAGAAAGGGACGGCUAACUACGUGCCAGCAGCCGCGGUAAUUC
rnacentral:rRNA from 1 species